CUCAUGAGCCAUUGGAGGCUUGCGUGGUCGGUGAUCACGGUGAAUGGCAUCAUUUCAACAUACGGCCUAAAUCGAUGAAUGGCCAACUUCGCGGCCAAGCACUCCUUUUCAGUCACGGUAUAGUUGAUUUGGUGCCGGUUCAAUUUGGCCGAAAGGACGCGAUCGGCCUCUUCUGCUGUUCCUCGUCCAAUUGGAACAAAACAGCUCCGACUCCGAAAUUUGAUGCGUCUCACUGGAUGUAGAAUGGCUUCUUAAAAUCGGCGUGCACCAACACCGGAGCCGUGAGAAUUCGUCAGUGGUACUGAGAUCUCUGCGAAGUUCUUAAUGAAUCUCCGAUACCAGCCAGCCGUACCCAAGAAGCUAAGCAGUUCCUUGACCGUUCUUGGAGCAGGGAUGUUAUUGAUGGCCUCCACUCUGCUCGGGUCCAUCCGUAAAGUGCCUCCACCUAUGAUGAAACCUAAAUAGUUGAGGUUCCUAAAGCAGAACUUGGAUUUGGCCAUGCCAAUGAUGUGUGUCGAAAUCCGCCGAGAUGAUUAACAAAUCGUCCAAGUACACGAAUACAGUGGACCUUAGGGAGUCG